AGGCAGUGUAUUGUUAGCUGGCUGCUUUGGGUCAAUUCAGCAGCCACAACUGCCCUGCCAC
rnacentral:pre_miRNA from 1 species